rnacentral:rRNA from 1 species
UACGUAGGGGGCUAGCGUUGUCCGGAAUCAUUGGGCGUAAAGCGCGCGUAGGCGGACCUGCAAGUCGGGGGUGAAAGCCCGAGGCUCAACCUCGGAACUGCCUUCGAUACUGCGGGUCUCGAGUCCGGGAGAGGUGAGUGGAAUUCCUAGUGUAGAGGUGAAAUUCGUAGAUAUUAGGAAGAACACCAGUGGCGAAGGCGGCUCACUGGACCGGUACUGACGCUGAGGCGCGAAAGCGUGGGGAGCAAACAGG